UGUACCAGGAUUCCCAGCUGAUGGACAGGGACCCCUGAGGCUCCCGGAGGUUAAGCAAGGUACCUGGGUGACAUGAUGGACCCUCCCUCCAUCCAGCUUGACUUGAGGACCCUCCUGGGGCUCCUCCACCUUCUCCCUGGGAACCCAUCAACCUCUCCUCUAACUGGCACCAUCACCCCAGCAUCUGUGAAGGGACCCACACAUUGGGCCACCACCCUGCCAGGUCCAUAGGCCCCUCAGCUGAGGCCUGCCCAGAGCCAAGUCCCUCCUCCUCGCCAACCUGCUGCUCCUGCACUGUCUCCAUCAGCAGUGUCCACUCCAGACGCUCAGGCCAGGAGUGGGGCUGUGCUUUCUCCCCUCAUGCAUCCUGCCUGGCUACCAGGCUUCACACUGGCAGGUGAUGCAGCCCCCUUCCCCCACGUCUCCUGGCAGCUGUCUCCUUAAGCAGGAGCAGGUCCUCAUCCAGGGAGCCCUGCCUGCCAGAGCUCUAAGCACAGGGCCCUGCUCAGUGGUAGCUCACAGACCCAGCAGGAUUUCACACUGAGGAGGAAAGAGAGAGCAUUCGCACUGCUGAAGAGAACAGCAGUCACAGCAGAAGGAGCAGCUCAGGCAUGAGCAUCAAGCAAAAUACGCAUGGACAGGAUUUUCUCUAGUUCAAGGACAAACUCCGGGCUCUGCUAACCCACUGGGGAGGCUCCUUGGGGACAGCUAGGGCUUGGACCAGGAGGCCUCUACUGCAGGAGGGAAGGCCAGGGCCCUGUACCAGUGAGGGCUUGGACCUGUCCUAUAGGUGAAGAGGACUCGGGCAGGAGCCACAGCUGGGUUUGUGUUUAGGAAAGCAUGUCCAGCAACAGAAUGUCCAGGCAAUGGUGAUGCAGUGUGAACCGGUGAAGAAAUGGGGGAGUAAGCUACUGAGGUGUGCCAGAGAAGAGCUGGAAGCAGUAUUGGGGGGAGGGGCAGGGGUAUCUGGAGGCAGCUUGUAGCACCAAAAACGGGAUCAGGCUGGGCCCAGGGGCGGGCCAGCAAGGGUGUUGCUGCCAAUGUACUGUGGCCUGCUGUCUGCUACAGCCCACCCAGAGAGCGGGGGAAAAAGGGUCAACUGAUCUGACUGGGUGGGUAGGUGGGCAGAAAAGGUACACACUCUGGUGCAGGAAGCUGAAUGGAGCCACAGCAAUUGUGAGAUUAACCGUGUUGAUUCUUCAGGUAAGGAAGGAAGCAGUCCCCAACAUCCCAGAGCUGGUCUUAUCAGCUAGGCCCUGGUGUCACUGGGAACCGGCCUGUCACUCUCAGAUACAGUGUUUUCCGGUUUAGAAUACAAACAUCAUACAACACCAGCAUCAGACAACGCCCCUGUGUGAGCUGUCAAGACCAGACCACUCUGACGUCUGAACAGAGAAAACACGAGCCCUGCCCAAGCCAAUAAGACCGACGGCGCCUGCCCUAACUAAUCUGAGUGCCGUAGCCUCUUCAGACAGUUUCAGCCUGCCUCUUGUCUGUCCUCCUUCCGGAGACGUGUCAAGAUACCCAGUCACAGAAUGACUCCCCUUCCUGACAGCAUCCAACCCAGAGCAAAUCCCUGCUUCCUUAAGCCCUCUGCAGUUCACCCACACAAGCCAAACCCUAGUGAGACGUUUUAGCACCCAUUCCUGAGAUUCCCUGCAGACCCCACGACUCACAGCUUCUGUCACCACACUCAGCAGUAGCCCGACCUGUUCAACCACCAGCGUGUCCAGGCCGGGCGGGGAGGAGGGGACUUCUGCUGGAGGGGAUUAAUACAGCUAGCUGUCCACAAGGCCAAAGAAGGCUUGUUUAUUCUUUCACCAAAAGUGUUUAUUUGAAGACAUAAUCAUUAAAUCCAUCCUUGUUUUCAAGAUUAACGACACAAAGACCCACACCCCCUCACACUCCCCGGCCUGCAGAGCAGCACUGUCUUCAGCACCACUGAUGGGUGCUGAUGCGGCAGCCAGGACCCCAGCUCACAGAACACCCAGCGCAGGUGCCCGGUGCCACUUGCCCAGGGCUACCGUUGAGUGUCUCCGAACUAGAAGUGCCUUCAGAAGAGGAACUGUGACGUGCGCGUUUCAGCAUCCAGACCAGCUCCUCACCCAGGGCCAGGCACACCGUCGGCCUCAACUGUGGUGUGAGUGGCACCAGCUGAACAAGCACUAGCUGUCCCAGGGCCAGGGCCAGAACGCUGUGGACUUUGGCACAGCGCUGGUGGAGGUGUUUCAGGAGUGGGACAGCAAAACUAAAAGCCCAGGAGAACCAUGGCGGCACAUCUGUGAGGACCAGGUUUCCUGCCAGGCAUCAUCGUGUCAGGGAGGCACUCCAACACUCUGCACUAAGGAGUGUGAACCCCUCUCGCUCUGCCCUCUAUCCGCUCAAUUCCUCCUCAUGUGUCACCACUGCUGUCACCCAGCCAGAAAGUCAGCUCCAUGGCAGCAGGGCCUUUGCUGUGUUCCCUGCAGGGGUAGAAGAUGGUGCUCGGUGCCUGCUAUGGAGCAAACGGCCAAAUGCAGUCCUGAGAGUCGUCAUGAGAGGGUGUCAGCACCCUGUGCUGAAGAGUGGGGAACUGAGGCGCACGGGGGAUCAUCCGGCUGUACGUGGCUGAGUGGGGGCCUUCGCUCAGGCUCAUCAGAUCCCAGGCCGCCCCAGUCUCUAUGCCCUGUCUCCCCUGAGACUGUGUGAUAGCCCCUGGGCACGAAACGAGGCUGGGGAGCCUGUCCUGCACUGGGCAGCUCCCAGCCAUGUAAAUGGAACAGAGAGACGAGAGGUUCCCUGCUUGUCCCCUGCUGUCCUCCAGGACCUGCAAUGAUGCCUGGCGUUUGGCAGGCCUUAGAGAUCUAUGGGCUCACAAGAAGAUGCAUUUAGCUCCUGCUCUGUGCCAGACACUGCCCUCAUUGUUCUGCACACACUGCCUCUCUGAGCCUCCAGAGUAAGAAGGAGGAGCAUUGCUACCCCACACGGCAGGUGAAGGAACAGGGGCCUGCCCUGGGCCACACGACAAAGCUGCAGCAAGGUGUGUGACUACGCUGGUGCUACUGACAGAGGUCCUGAGGGCACAUCUCAGGAGCCGGGGUCUGGGGAAGGAAUAGGAGUCAACUGAGGGUCAGGGUUGGGGGCAACACAGGUCUGAGGUGGGGCCUUGGGGUUGAGGACCUGGAACCCCAACCACAUGCCUCCUGUGCCCCGUGCUCAUCCAUCUCCCCUUCCUUGGGGCCGGCCACUCUGCCCUCCAUGGCUCUCAAUGCCUAGUCUUUAUGUGGGUCUCCCAGCCCUCUCCAUCCUUGCCACCCUCCAAAUAACACUUUGCAAAAAGCAGAGAGGAAUUAACUACACAGAGAAGUUGUCCACAGUCCAGAGCUGAAAGAGCCCUUCUGGUCUCUGCCCUGGCCACUAGUCCCU